rnacentral:lncRNA from 10 species
AAGGCCCUCAAACUAUGCACAAAUGAGGGGCAUUGUGCAUCCGUCCUAUUUUUAAAAACUCUCCAGGAAAUACACUUGCUGCCUACACUUCCUCACCACCCACUCGCUCUUCGGGGCUUCUAAUCCGGCUUCCGCCCCACCUCGUUCCUGAUGGAGCCCCAGGAAGGACUCCAAGGACCUCCUCCUCAGCCACAAAUCCUGCAGCCUUGCCCCAGUCCCUCAUCCUCAGCCGGUUCAGCAUUCCACAGGAAAUCUCCCCUCUCUGGGUUUCCGUGGCAGGAAACUCCCGUUGUUUUCUCUUUUUAAUGUGUGUGCCUACCCAGGGAUCUGAGCUUAGCACCCCUCCCUCUGUGCUGCCUCCUUCAUUAUCUCACCUACCCUGGGCCUCACCUGACACCUCCAUGCAGAUGGUCCUCACUUCCAGCCUCUCUUGUCAGCACCAACUCUGAGCUCCAACCCCUGUCGGGCAUCAGGUCUCGGGUGCCUCUUCUGAAUGUCUAAAUAUCCCAAACGGAAUGGGUCAUUUUCUGCUCCAGUUCUGUCCUCCCUUUAUAACCUCCUCUCCCAAGAGCCCGCCACCCUCCAGUGUUCACUCUCCAAAUCUUAGCGUCAUCUCUGGCUUACCCAAUGGCCUUACCCCCAAGAUCCAACCAAUUGCAAGUUCUCUCUUUACCACAUCUCUCCGAUAUCACCAUCUUUGUAUUCCCAUCAAGUGCUUAUAUUCUACUCUUUUUCAGACCAUUGCAGUAACCUCCUAACGGAUCCAUCUCUACUCUGUCCUCCUCCCACACCCCUUUCCCCACAAUCUAUAUUCUGUGCUUCUUUGAGGACACUCUUCAAGUUCCAUCAGGAAGGCACUAUUUUGUCUCCCUGCCCUAAAACCUGCAAUGGUUCCCACUGCUGAUAAUAAGUCCUAAGCCUGGCUUUACACCCAUCAUAAUUCAAGGCUCUCCCAGUCCACUUUCCAUCACCUUCCCUCUAGGUACACAUUUCUGCAGUUUACCUCAAAUUCCCACUCAUCUUGAAACACUCUGUCUUCCCAUCUCCAGGCUUUUACUCAAGCUGGACCUUUCUCAGGUAAUGCCUUUCUUUUUAUUUACGUCUACCAAAAUCUUACCUUUCCCUUUAGGGUCAUCUCAAAUGCCACUUCUUCCAGGAUGCCUCCCAGAGUUUCC